rnacentral:rRNA from 1 species
AUUGAACGCUGGCGGCAUGCCUUACACAUGCAAGUCGAACGGCAGCACGGGUGCUUGCACCUGGUGGCGAGUGGCGAACGAGUGAGUAAUACAUCGGAACGUACCUUAUCGUGGGGGAUAACGCAGCGAAAGCUGUGCUAAUACCGCAUACGCCCUGAGGGGGAAAGCGGGGGAUCGCAAGACCUCGCGCGAUUAGAGCGGGCGAUGCCUGAUUAGCUUGUUGGUGGGGUAAAAGCCCACCAAGGCGACGAGCAGUAGAUGGUCUGAGAGGACGAUCAGCCACACUGGGACUGAGACACGGCCCAGACUCCUACGGGAGGCAGCAGUGGGGAAUUUUGGACAAUGGGGGCAACCCUGAUCCAGCGAUGCCGCGUGAGUGAAGAAGGCCUUCGGGUUGUAAAGCUCUUUUGUCAGGGAAGAAACACCGGCUCUAACACAGUCCGGGAAUGACGGUACCUGAAGAAUAAGCACCGGCUAACUACGUGCCAGCCGCCGCCGUAA